GGCUAACGCUGGCGGCGUGUCUUAGCCAUGCAAGUCGAGCGGACUUAUGGGGUAACUUAUAAGUCAGCGGCGGACGGCGGAGUAACACGUAGCUAACCUACCCUCUGGACGGGGAUAACCUACCGAAAGGUGGGCUAAUACCCGAUGUAGUCAUCCUGUAUAGGGGUGAUGAAAGGUGGGCUUCUGUUUACAAGCUCAUGCUGGAGGAGGGGGCUGCGGCCUAUCAGGUAGUUGGUAGGGUAAUAGCCUACCAAGCCGAUGACGGGUAGCCGGCCUGAGAGGGUGACCGGCCCGAGGGGCACUGAGAUACGGGUCCCACUCCUACGGGAGGCAGCAGGCUAGAAAUUUGGGCAAUGGGGGAAACCCUGACCCAGUGACGCCGCGUGCAGGAAGGAGCCCUUCGGGGUGUAAACUGCUGUCGUGUAGGGAGAAGGGUACUAAGGUGAACAAUCUUAGUACUUGACGUACUACAGGAGGAAGCCCAGGCUAACCUCGUGCCAGCAGCCGACGGUAAAAUAGACGUACU
rnacentral:rRNA from 1 species